UAGGGAAUCUUCGGCAAUGGACGAAAGUCUGACCGAGCAACGCCGCGUGAGUGAAGAAGGUUUUCGGAUCGUAAAACUCUGUUGUUAGAGAAGAACAAGGACGUUAGUAACUGAACGUCCCCUGACGGUAUCUAACCAGAAAGCCACGGCUAACUACGUGCCAGCAGCCGCGGUAAUACGUAGGUGGCAAGCGUUGUCCGGAUUUAUUGGGCGUAAAGCGAGCGCAGGCGGUUUCUUAAAUCUGAUGUGAAAGCCCCCGGCUCAACCGGGGAGGGUCAUUGGAAACUGGGAGACUUGAGUGCAGAAGAGGAGAGUGGAAUUCCAUGUGUAGCGGUGAAAUGCGUAGAUAGAUGGAGGAACACCAGUGGCGAAGGCGGCUCUCUGGUCUGUAACUGACGCUGAGGCUCGAAAGCGUGGGGAGCAAACAGG
rnacentral:rRNA from 1 species